UGAUGCACUUUAACAACCCCAAAGUUCAGGCAUUGCUGGCAGCAAACACUUUACCACCAUUACAGGCCAUGCUGAGACAAAGCAGCUGACAGAAAUGCUACCCAGUAUCUUAAUUCAACUUGGUGCAGACAGGCUGACUACACCAAGUAGGUUUAA